GGCUUUAGAUUGGCUAGAUUUAGUAAACAUUGGCGAAUUCAGAUCUCAUGCUUGUUUUCCUGCUAUUUUCCCGUGGAAUAUUACUUUUGACAUCAACUCUUCUGCACGAAUCUAUUCUUUAUUCCCGUUGAACCUUCAUGAUCAGAUGGAUCCUUUAGAGAUAAAAAUAGAUCCUUGCGAACUUGAAGAGUUUGAGGCCCAGGAGGAGGCAGUGGCAUCGGUUUGGCCAGAUGAAGGACAACCUUGUCCAGUUAACAAAUGUCCGUCACUUCCUCAUAUCUUCAAGAAACUUGGAAGUUACCGCGUACAUUAUCUAAGAUUUCAUAAGGAGAAGUGCGCCAUGUAUGAGUGUCCAAGUUUGUUUUGCGACAACAUUUUUUACAAACGUAAUGAUGCAUAUCGACAUCUGCAAGAGGAGCACGCGGGGUUGCAGUUUUGCAUUUUUAAGAAAUAUGACACCAAUCCCAGAUUUGUGCAUCCACAGGGUUAUUCGAUGCCACUUCCUGCAGUUGAUAAGAAAGCCAGGGACUUGGCCGCUUCUUCACGUAAAAGAUCUGUUAAAGAACCCCUCUUCCAUCUUUCCAGUAAUGCCAAUACCCGAGAUGAGAGGUUUCCUCCUGGUGGAUAUAAACACUAAAAUUUUCAUAUAUUAUGUAUUAUAGUUGUUUAAACAAAAAUUUAUUGUAAAUUUAGUUUUUUUAAGGGGGGAGGAAUGUAGUGGUUUGGAUUUUUAUUUCCAUAGCCCUGGUUUCGUAAUUUAUAUUUACUUAUUAUUUGCUAGUAUUUCAGUAUGAUAAUGUUAUUUACAUUGAGUUUUCAGUUAUUACUGACGUAAAACCCCUUUAUUGUUAGUCGUUUAUAAGCUAGGUCAUGUGUUGACUUUCCACAUGUUUUACUUUUAAAACAGGAAGUGUCAUCCAUGUUGGCAGUCUUUCCGUAGUACUUUUGAUAGCUGUGUUCUAAUUGGCUAAGUUAGCCUUAGGAUCUUUGAUAUCUAUUGGCGUUUAUUUUUGGGCAUAGCUAGGGUAUUUAAAGCCGUGUUCGUGUAGUUUUCUUCACUUGGUUGGGGAUAAGCCUCAUGGCACUUUAUAUCUGCUUUUAAUGCCAACCUCAAGGUACACGGCAUUCUAGGUUUCAUUUAGCACGUGCUGAGCGAGCACUUUAUGAUUAGAGUUAGGAUGUUAGGAUUUUUAUAGAUAAGUUAGGUUCCCUUUCCAAGUCCAGCCUGGUUUUAGGAGAUGUAGAUAACAGAUGUUAAUUCUAGAACCACUAUUCUUUAUUAUUUUGCCCUUUAUAUUUUUGGUGUAGUUCAUUUGCUGGGUUAGUUAUUUUUAGAGCCCAGACUUUUCAGAGUUUUUCAUAGUUCAACUCUAGAGUGUUGAUAGAGUUCAUAUUGGGUGAUGUAGCUCAUUUUCCUUACAUUUUCCAAUUCAGUUAUUUAUAGUAGUGUUUAUUCUUAGAGAGAUUUUUGACCAUUUUCAUUAGUAUGGAGGCUCAGUAGGGACAUAUAUUUUUUUUUUAUUUAGUCUCAUAUUUUUCAUAGGUCUUCCACAUUCCUGCCAAUUUCUAUUAUUUAUAUAGAUUUUUUUCAUAAACUAUUUAUUUAUUUAUUGAGAUUAUUGUUGUUCAUUUGCUAAAUUAAAUCAUAUUUCUG